rnacentral:rRNA from 1 species
UACAGAGGGUGCAAGCGUUGUUCGGAAUCAUUGGGCGUAAAGGGUGCGUAGGCGGGUCUUUAAGUCAGGGGUGAAAUCCUGGAGCUCAACUCCAGAACUGCCUUUGAUACUGAAGAUCUUGAGUUCGGGAGAGGUGAGUGGAACUGCGAGUGUAGAGGUGAAAUUCGUAGAUAUUCACAAGAACACCAGUGGCGAAGGCGGCUCACUGGCCCGAUACUGACGCUGAGGCACGAAAGCGUGGGGAGCAAACAGG